ensembl:lncRNA
AUGUCAUACCGCCCGUGUGUUUCUGGGUGCGGUCGAUAUAUGGCGCCUCGUGACGGCCACGAUCGCUGUGUCAUGUGUUUGGGCUUUCAGCACACUGAGACUGCGUUCGUGGAUGACUCAUGUUCUCAUUGCGGGGACAUGACCAUCUCGGCGUUAAGAUCGAGACUCGAUUACCUUAAAAGGUAUAGAGUCUCCUCUGCCACACCCCGUUCUAGCUCCUCUUCUCGUAAGAGGGCUACUUCAGCUGGUGGCCAGGGUGAUCUGAGGGUUACCGUGUGGGCUUCACCGACGAGACAGCCUCCUCGGGCCACACCCCCCUCACAAACGCCGCAGCUGGUUGAGUUUCUGGAUCAGUUUGCUGGACCCUCUCAGGCUCCUGACAUCUUAUUCAGGGCUCAGGAGGAAGACCUAAUGUCGAUCGCCGCAUCACAAGGCGGGCUUGAGUCCUCGGGAGAUGAGGAUACGCCAGCGUUGCCCGAGUCCGAUCCUGAAUUGACGGCCAUGCUUUCCCGGGCAGCUGAGAGCAUCAGGCUCGAGUGGAAUCCUCCACCCUGUCCCGAGCGCUUGAGGCUGGAUGAUUGGUUCCUGGGGGCUGCUCGUGCUGAUCGCCAGCACCCCCCGCUGGUUCCUUUCUUCCCAGAAGCGCACCAGGAAGUGACCAGUUCAUGGAAGGCACCUUUAACUGUCCGAAACCGUUCUGGUGCUUCCUCCGCCUUCAAUGCCCUCGAUGGCAGAGCAGCCAAGGGGUAUGCUGGGAUUCCCCCGGUGGAGCGCUCUGUUGCGAUGCAACUGUGUCCUCAGAGCACCUCCGCAUGGCGUGGUGGUCCCAAGCUUCCCUCCAAGGCCUGUAAGUUCUCAUCCACGCUUGUGGCCAAGGCUUACAGAGCUGUGGGUCAGGCCGCUACUGCCCUGCACGCCAUGGCCACCCUUCAGGUCUACCAGGCCAAGGUGUUCAAAAAGCUGCACGGGGGCAGUGCUGACCCAGGGGUAUUGCAGGAGGCGCGCACUGCUACCGACCUCGCUCUCCGGGCGAUGAAGGUUACUGCACGCUCCUUGGGUCAGGUGAUGUCCACUUUGGUGGUCCAGGAGCACCACCUAUGGCUAAACCUGGCAGACAUGAGGGAGUCUGAUCGGACUCAGCUCCUCAACUCCCCGGUGUCCCAGGCUGGCCUCUUCGGCGACGCGGUGGAGAAUUUUGCCCAGCAGUUCUCUGCCGCCCAGAAGCAGUCUAGAGUCUGUCCCUGA